UCAGGCUAAGGGUCAAAUCAGAGCUGUAGCUACUAGGCUAUGCUACAGCAACACCAAAUCCAAGCCACAUCUUUGACCUACCAGAUCAAAUGCCAGAUCUGGGACCCACCAAGCAAGGCCAGGGAGCAAGCCCACAUCCUCAUGAAUUCCACUACACAAGAGGAAUUCCUCAUUUUUUAAAGUUUUUUUUGAAGUACACUUGAUUUACAAUGUUGUGAUAACUUAGGCUAUACAACAAAGUGAUUCAGUUAGUAUGCACAUAUCCAUUCUUUUUUAGAGACUUUCGCUAUAUUAAUUAUCACAGAAUAUUGAGUAGAGUUCCCUGUGCUACACAGCAGGUCCCCAUUGGCUUAUCAUUCCAUAUACCACAUUGUGUAUAUGCCAAUCCAAACUCCCCAGUCCAUCCCUCCCUGUCCAGUCUCUCCCCUUUGGUAACCAUAAGUUUGUUUUCAAAGUCUGUGGGUCUGUUUCUGUUGUGCAAAUAAGUUUAUCUGUAUCCUUUUUAAAAUAUUCCACACAUAAGUGAUAGCAUAUGAUAUUUGUCUUUCACUAUCUGAAUUAGUAUGAUAAUUUCUAGGUCCAUCCAUGUUGCUGCAAAUGCCAUUAUUUCAUUCCUUUUUAUGGCUGUGUAAUAUUCCAUGGCAUGUAUGUACUAUAUCUUCUUUAUCCAUUCCUCUGUUGAUGGACAUUUAGGUUGCGGCCAUGUCUUGACUAUUGUAAAUAGUGCUGCAGUGAACAUCAGGGUACAUGUAUCUUUUCAAAUUAUGGUUUUCUCCAGGUCAGUGCCUAGGAUUGAGACUGGUGAAUCAUAUGGUAGUUUAUUUUUAGUUUUUAAAGGAAACUCCAUAGUGGUUUUACCAAUUUAUAUUCACACCAGCAGUGUAAUAGGGUUCCCUUUUCUCCACACCCUUUCCAUUUAUUGUCAUAGACUUUUUGAUGAUGGCUAUUCUAGCUGGUGUAAAGUGGUACCUCAUAGUGGUUUUGAUUUGCAUGUCUCUAAGAAUUAAUGAUGUUGAGCAUCUUUUCAUGUGUUUCAUGGACAUCCAUAUAUGUUCUUUGGAGAAAUGUGCCGAUUUUUGAGUGGAUUGUUUUUUUGAUACUGAGCUGCAUGAGUUGUUGGUUUAUUUUGGAGAUUAAUCUCUUGUCAGUUGCUUCAUGUGAAAUAUUUUCUCCCAUUCUCUGACUCCCAUUCUCUGAGUUGUCUUUUUGUUUAUGGUUUUCUUUGUUGUGCAAAAGAUUCAUGUUGAAUUAGGUCGCAUUUGUUUUAGUUUUUAUUUGCAUUACUCUAGGAGGUGGAUCUGAAAAGAUAUUGCUGUGGUUUAUAUCAGAAAAUGUUUUGCCUAUGUUUUCUCCGAAGAGUUUUAUAGUUUCCAGUUUUAUGUUUAGGUCUUUAAUCUAUAUUGAGUUUAUUUUUGCGUAUGGUGUUAAAGAGUGUUCUGAUUUCAUUCUUUUAUAUAUAGCUGUCCAGUUUUCCCAGCACCACUUAUUGAAGAAACUUUCUUUUCUCCAUUGUAUAUUUUUGACUCCUUUUGACCAAAGGUGUGUAGCUUUAUUUCUGGACUUUCCAUCCUGUUCCAUUGACCUAUAUUUCUGUUUUUGUGCCAGUACCAUACUUUUUGAUGACUCUUACUUUGUAGUAUAGCCUGAGGUCAGGGGGCCUGAUUCCUCCAGCUCUGUUUUUCUUUCUCAAGUUUGGUUUGGAUAUUUGAGGUCUUUUGUGUUUCCAUACAAAUUUAAAAUUUUUUUGUUUUAGUUCUCUGAAAAAUACCAUUGGUAAUUUGAUAGGGAUUGCAUUGAAUCUGUAGAUUGCCUUGGGUAGUAUAGACAUUUUGAAAGUGUUGAUUUUUUAAUUCCAAGAGCAUGGUUUAUCUUUCCAUCUCGGUCAUCUUCAGUUUCUUGCUACAGUGUCUUACAGCUUUCAGAGUAAAAAAUCUUGCCUUUUUAGGUAGGGGUAUUCCUAGAUAUUUUCUUCUUUUUUAUGUGAUGGUGAAUAGGAUCACUUAAUUUCUCUUUUUGAUCUUUCAUUGUUAGUGUAUAGAAAUGUAAGAUAUUUCUGUGUAUUAAUUUGGUAGCCUGCAACUUCGCCAAAUUCAUUGAUGAGCUCUAAUAGUUCUCUGAUAGCAUUUUCAGGAUUUUCUAUGCAUGUCAUCUGAAAACAGCAACAUUGUUACUUCUCUUCCAAUUUGGAUUCCUUUUAUUUCUCUUUCUUCUCUGAUUGCCAUGGCUAGGACUUCGAAAACUAUGUUCAGUGACAGUGGUGAGAGUGGACAUCCUGGUCUUUUUCCUGAUCUUAGUGGAAAUUCCUUCAGCUUUUCACUGCUGAAAAUGAUGUUGCCUGUGGGUUUAUCAUAUAUGGCCUUUAUUAUGUUGAAGUAGGUUCCCUUUGUGUCCACUUUCUGAAGGGUUUUUAUCAUAAAUGGGUGUUGGAUUUUGUUAAAAGCUUUUUCUGUAUCUAGUGAAAUCAUAAGGUUUUUAUUCUUCAAUUUGUUGAUGUAAUAUAUCAUUACUGAUUUGCCAAUGUUGAAGAAUCCUUGCCUCUCUGGGAUAAAUCCCACUUGAUCAGGUUUAUGAUCCUUUUAAUGCAUUUCUGGAUUUGGUUUGCUAGUAUUUUGUUGAGGAUUUUUGCGUCUAUGCUCAUCAGUGAUACCAGACUGUAAUUUUCUUUUUUUGUGAUAGGUUUAUCUGGUUUUGGUAUCAUGGUGAUAGUGGCCUCAUAGAAUGAGUUUGGGAACGUUCCUUCCUCUGAAACUUUUGGAAUAGUUUCGGAAGGAUAGGUGUUAACUCUUCUCUAACAAUCCUUUGCAUUUCUGUGAUGUGUGUUGUAACAUCUCCUUUUUCAUUUAUAUAUAUUUUUUGAUUUGAGCCCUCUCCCUUUUUUCUUGAUGAGUCUGGCUAAGUGUUUAUCAAUUUUUUUCCACAGUACCAGCUUUUAGCUUCAUUGAUAUUUUCUACUCUGUUCAUCUCUAUUUCAUUUAUUUCUGCUCUGAUUUUUAUGAUUUAUUUCCUUUUACUAACUUUGGAUUUUGUUUGUUCUUCUUUCUUAUUUGCUUUAGGUGUAAUGUUUUGGUUGUUUACUUGAGAUUUUCCUUGUUUCCUGAAAAGAAUUUUUAUUUCUAUAAACCUUCCUCUUAGAACCGCUUUUGCUGCAUCCUUUAGGCUUUGGAUCAUUGUAUUUUUGUUUUCAUUUGUCUCUACAUACUGUUUAAUUUUCUGUUUUAUUUCUUCAGUGAUCCAUUGGUUGUUUAGUAGCAUAUUGUUUAGUCUUCCCUUGUUUGUGCUUUUGGUAGUUUUUUUCUUAUAGUUGAUUUCUAGUCUUACCGCAUUGUGGUCAGAAAAAAUGUGUAAUAGGAUUUCAGUUUUCUUAAAUUUACCGAGUCUUACUUUGUGGGCCAGAAUGUGAUCUGUCUUAGAGAAUGUUGCAUGUGUGCUUGAGAAAAAAAUGUGUAUUCUGCUGUUUUUGGAUGGAAUGUUCUAUAAAUUCUAUUAAGUCUUUCUGGUCUGAUGGAUCAUUUAAGGCCUGCAUUUUUUUGGUUGAUUUUAUGUCUGAAUGAUCUGUCCAUUGCUGUAAGUGGGUUGUUAAAGUCCCUCACUAUUAGUGUGUUGUUGUAGAUACUUCCUUUUAUGGCUAUUAGCAGUUGUCUUUUAUAUUGAGGUGCUCAUAUGUUGGAUGCAUAUGUAUUUACAAGUGUUAUAUCUUCUUGGAUUGAUCUUUUGAUCAUUGUGUAAUGUCCUUUCCCUCUUCUAAUGUUCUUUAUUUUAAAGUCUAUUUUGUCUGAUAUGAGUGUUGCUACUCCAGCUUUCUUUUGUUCUGUUUGCAUGGAAUAACUUUGCCAUCCUCUCACUUUCACUCUGUAUGUGUCUCUAGAAUUGAAGGGGAUCUCUGGUAGACAGUGUACAGAUGGGCCUUGUUUUUGUAUCCAUUCAGCUAGUCUCUAUCUUUUGGUUGGAGCAUUUCGGCCAUUUACAUUUAAGAUUUUUUUUUUUUUAAGGGCCACCUGCAGCAUAUGGAAGGUCCCAGGCUAGUUGUUGAAUCAGAGUUGUAGCCACCCACAGCCACAGCAACGCCAGAUCUGAAUGAUAUCUGCAACCUACACAGCUCACUGCAAUGCCGGAUCCUUAACCCACUGAGUGAGGCCAGGAAUUGAACCUGUGUCCUCAUAGAUUCCACUGAGCCAUGAUGGAAACCCCAGUAAUUAUUGAUAAUGUAUGUUAUUAUUGCCAUUUUAAUUGUUUUGGAUUUGGUUUUGUUGGUCUUUUUUUUCCCCUUUUGUUCUCUUGUGGUUUGCCUCUCUUUAGUGUUGUGCUUGGAUUGUUUUUUCAUAUAUGUAUGUAUAUCUAUUGUAGAUUCUUGGUUUGUGAUUAUCAUGAGGUUUUGAUAUAGGAGUCUCUAUAUAUACCUACAAGAUUGUUUUAAAUUGCUGAUUUCUUAAUUGCAGAUGUACGUCCAGUAUCCUACAGUUGUACCCUCCUCUUCUAAGGAUUGCUAGUUUUGAUACCAUAUUUGUGUUAAGAUAAUUUCCUACCUUUACUAUAUGUUUGCUUUUACCAGUAAGCCUUCUGAUUUGUAAUUUUGUUUCUUGUUGUGGCCUUUUAUUUUCUGCCUAGAUAAGUUUCUUUAGUAUUUGUUGUAAAACUGUUUGGUGGUACUGAAUUCUCUUAGCUUUUGCUUGUCUGUAAAGCUUUUGAUUUUUCCUUCAAAUCUGAAUGAGAGCCUUGCUGGGUAGAGUAUUUUUAGUUGCAGGUUUUUUCCCUUUUAUCACUUUAAGCAUAUCAUUCCACACCCUUCUGGCCUGUAGAUUUGCUGAAAAAUUAGCUGAUAACCUUAUUGGAGUUCCCUUGUAAGUUAUUAGCUGCUUUUCCCUAGCAGUUUUCAGUAUUUUCUCUUUGUCUUUAAUUUUGGUCCAUUUGAUUAAUAUGUGCUUAGAGUGUUACUCCUUGGGUUUAUUCUAUAUGGUAUUUGUUGUGUUUUCUGGACUUGAGUGAGUGAUUUCUUUCCCAUGUUAAGAAAGUUUUCAGCUAAUAUCUCUUCCAGUGUUUUCUCUGGCCCUUUCUUCUCUUUCUGGUACCUCUAUAACAUGAAUGUUGGUGAGUUUAAUGUUGUCUCAGAGUUCUCUUAGGCUGUCCUCAUUUAUUUUCAUUCUUUAUUCUGUUCUGGCAGUGAUUUCUAACAGUCUGUCUUUCACCUUGCUUAUUCAUUCUCCUACCUCUGUGUUCUGUUGGUUCCUUCUAGUGAAUUUUUCAUUUUGGUUAUUUUGGUGUUCAUCUCUGCUUG
rnacentral:lncRNA from 1 species